AUUGAACGCUGGCGGCAUGCCUAACACAUGCAAGUCGAACGGUAACAGGUGUAGCACUCCCUGCUGACGAGUGGCGGACGGGUGAGGGUUACUUGGGAAUCUGCCUCUUAGUGGGGGAGAACCCGGGCAAACUCGCGCUAAUACCGCAUACGCUCUACGGAGACCAGCGGGUGCCCGUGAGGCCUCGCGCUUACCGGUGAGCCCAAGUCGGAUUAGCUAGUUGGUGGGGUAAAGGCCUACCAAGGCGACGCUCCGUAGCUGGUCUGAGAGGACGAUCAGCCACACUGGAACUGAGACACGGUCCAGACUCCUACGGGAGGCAGCAGUGGGGAAUAUUGGACAAUGGGCGCAAGCCUGAUCCAGCAAUGCCGCGUGUGUGAAGAAGGCCUGCGGGUUGUAAAGCACUUUUGGCAGGGAAGAAAAGCAGUGGAUUAAUAACCCAGUGUGUUGACGGAACCUGAAGAAGAAGCACCGGCUAACUCCGUG
rnacentral:rRNA from 1 species